UCCCGCCAUUACAGUAUACAAGAACUGCCAGGCGCUCCCCAGCACGCAUCCUUCCCAACAGCCCCUUCGCGCGUCGCCUGCCUACCUGAAUACUUCAUGUAUUAUAAUUAUUUAAAGCGCCUGGGUACGAGGCAGAGCAAAGCCAGAAAGAUGAAAAUGAAGCGGAAAACACUUAACGAGCUACAAACAGCAGUAAGAGUUUUCAACUAUCUUGAAGAGAAAACGACAUACGCGAACCUCGAGAGAAGGAAGAAGC